rnacentral:tRNA from 1 species
CGCGGGGUGGAGCAGUUCGGUAGCUCGUCGGGCUCAUAACCCGAAGGCCACAGGUUCAAAUCCUGUCCCCGCAACCA